GUCCCAUCAGGGACAUCUGAUAAAAAUUGGAACAAUGCAGAGAAGAUUAGCACGGCCCCUGUGAAAGAAUGACAAGUGACAAGCACAAACGGAGAGUUGGUGU